AUACGUAGGGUGCAAGCGUUAAUCGGAAUUACUGGGCGUAAAGCGUGCGCAGGCGGUUUUGUAAGACAGUGGUGAAAUCCCCGGGCUCAACCUGGGAACUGCCAUUGUGACUGCAAGGCUGGAGUGCGGCAGAGGGGGAUGGAAUUCCGCGUGUAGCAGUGAAAUGCGUAGAUAUGCGGAGGAACACCGAUGGCGAAGGCAAUCCCCUGGGCCUGCACUGACGCUCAUGCACGAAAGCGUGGGGAGCAAACAGGAUUAGAUACCCUGGUAGUCCACUCCCUAAACGAUGUCAACUGGUUGUUGGGGAUUUAUUUUCUCAGUAACGAAGCUAACGCGUGAAGUUGACCGCCUGGGGAGUACGGCCGCAAGGUUAAAACUCAAAUGAAUUGACGGGG
rnacentral:rRNA from 1 species